rnacentral:rRNA from 1 species
AGUGAACGCUGGCGGUAGGCCUAACACAUGCAAGUCGAACGGCAGCACAGUAAGAGCUUGCUCUUACGGGUGGCGAGUGGCGGACGGGUGAGGAAUAAAUCGGAAUCUACUUUUUCGUGGGGGAUAACGUAGGGAAACUUACGCUAAUACCGCAUACGACCUACGGGUGAAAGCAGGGGAUCUUCGGAACUUGCGCGAUUGAAUGAGCCGAUGUCGGAUUAGCUAGUUGGCGGGGUAAAGGCCCACCAAGGCGACGAUCCGUAGCUGGUCUGAGAGGAUGAUCAGCCACACUGGAACUGAGACACGGUCCAGACUCCUACGGGAGGCAGCAGUGGGGAAUAUUGGACAAUGGGCGCAAGCCUGAUCCAGCCAUACCGCGUGGGUGAAGAAGGCCUUCGGGUUGUAAAGCCCUUUUGUUGGGAAAGAAAAGCAGCAGGUUAAUACCCCGCUGUUCUGACGGUACCCAAAGAAUAAGCACCGGCUAACUUCGUG